GACGUAGGAGACGAGCGUUAUUCGGAUUUACUGGGCGUAAAGCGCGUGCAGGCGGUUUGGUAAGUUGGAUGUGAAAGCUCUCGGCUCAACCGGGAGAGGUCGUUCAAAACUGCCAGACUAGAGAAUAGGAGAGGGAGGUGGAAUUCCGGGUGUAGUGGUGAAAUGCGUAGAUAUCCGGAGGAACACCAGUGGCGAAGGCGACCUCCUGGCCUAUUUCUGACGCUCAGACGCGAAAGCUAGGGUAGCAAACGGGAUUAGAGACC
rnacentral:rRNA from 1 species